AUUGAACGCUGGCGGCAGGCCUAACACAUGCAAGUCGAACGAGUGGCGGACGGGUGAGUAAUGUCUGGGAAACUGCCUGAUGGAGGGGGAUAACUACUGGAAACGGUAGCUAAUACCGCAUACCAUCAGAUGGGCCCAGAUGGGAUUAGCUAGUUGGGGGGGUAACGGCUCACAAAGGCGACGAUCCCUAGCUGGUCUGAGAGGAUGACCAGCCACACGGGAACUGAGACACGGCCCAGACUCCUACGGGAGGCAGCAGUGGGGAAUAUUCGACAAUGGACGCAAGCCUGAUGCAGCAAUGCCGCGUGAAUGAAGAAGGCUUUCGGGUUGUAAAGUACUUUCAUCGGGGAGGCGUUAUCUGCAGAAGAAGCCCCGGCUAACUCCGUGCCAGCAGCCGCGGUAAUUC
rnacentral:rRNA from 1 species